UUUGUGUUAUAUAAAUCUACAUCUAUUUAUUAAACUAAGAAAAGUCAAUCAGCUAAAUGGUUAAAUGGUGUUGGUUGAUUCAUUUACUGGCAGAAAAUAGUGGUACUUUUGGUUUUGUUGUAUUUUAUGGAUGACACAUCAGAUUUGUCUGCAUUUCACUUAUCAACUGCCAAUUAAUAAAUUAGGGUAAACCUGCCUUCGGUUGCCAAUUUAUUGGUGCAUCAUUCAAGAAAGUUUCGAUAGUUGAGUUUGACAUGUUUUCCUGUGUGUAACUUUGGUCUAAGAGUUUCCUUUUACAUGCUAGUUUCUUAUUCCAGUCAUUUUUUUCCUUUUUGUGAAAGAACUGAUGGCAGGAACAGAUGGAGCAGCUGUUUCUCAGACCUUUGUGUGCAUUCCUGUGUAGUUACCUUGGUUGUAAAAAGAUUAUUUCACUUGCUUCUUUCCCCCAACCAACUUUUUAUGAUACAGAUGGUUCUCAAAACAAUUUUGAUUUAAAAGUUUUUCAAUUUGUUUUGACUACGAAAAUCAGCUCAAACUACACUCUAUUCUUUCUUACAGUGCUGAUUGCAAGAAUUAUUUUAUUGAUCUUGCUAAAUUAAUGUUAAUACAUGCUCUGCUGUCUUUAAUGAUUUCAACAGCUGACUCAAAUUAGGUCCAAAUAUACAGCCUGGAAUGCUAAUAAGACCCUUGAUCACCUAAGCUAGAGAUGGAGGACCUCUUUAGCUGCCCUUGUUUUUUUUAUUUUUAUUAUUUCACUCUUAGCUAUCUUAAAGUGACUUUUUCUUCUAUUUUUAAUUAAAGCUCUCUUUCUGCUAUGCAUAUUUAAUAUCUGAAUGAGGCAGUGAAACUUUAUGUAUAAUAUAUUGGCUUGGCACUUGCAAGUGCGUGCUGGUUCAUCUCAACAAGGAAGCCAGGAAAAGCAAUUUAUCAGUUGGCUGCUUUACCUGUUUAAGAGACGGUUUAUACCUACGGGUUAAUUGAGAUGCAUGUGAAUAAUUCAACAAGUUGACAGGAAAUCUCUUCAGGGAAACGCUGUGGGAUAGACCUAGCUGGUAAAUUCAGCAUGGGUUGAGUACUCCAGGUUGUUUGUGAUUGUUCUGAGAUAUCUAAAAUGCAACACGAUCUUGUUUUAAGAAGAUGGAUGCUGUGGAAUGUAAACCUUGGACUAGCUAUUGGAUACUUGUGUGCAUAGAAAUGGAUUUCUAUGCACUCAUCACAAAAUCUUUCUGUUCAAAAUUAGAAACUGUGGCAUAUGAGGUACUGAGUUACAGAGACAAGAUUUCUAAUGUGAGAAUGUAUGGCCUCACUUUAUUGCUGAGUGCCAUUUCCAGCAUCUGAACAGCUUGGAGUGUGAGAACAUUUGGAGAGGCAAUUAUCAGAAAAAAUGAUUUUUGUGUUGUACCAUUUUAUUUCUGGACAUAAUUUUUCAAUAUUGCCAUAAUGUACUUCUGACUUGUGUAUGUCAUAUAAAUAUAAAUUCUAUUGACUUGUUUCAUGUCUGAUAAAUGUAAAGUCCUAAAGAAAGCUGAGAGACACUAUCUAAAGAUUUGUUACCAAAGUCUGAUUUUUGACUUGCCAAUACUGAUCUUGGCAGAGUCAGUUUUUUCUGUAAGAAGACAAAAUGACAGAAUUGAGGUUAAUUUAUUGGAAAUUACCAUGAUAUGGUAGAGGUUAGUUAUGGUCGGUUCUCAAGCUGGAAACUAACUAUAUUGUUUUUUUAGUUCUGGUCAUCAGCCCAUAUCAUGGUGCUUCUCUACAAAACGCAGAAAUGUUAUUUGACAAGCGAGACAGCAGGAAGUGAAGACAUCAAAGGAGAUGAAGGACAAUAGCAAUUUUCUACAGCUGCAUUCUGUUGUCUGUUGCACAUGAAAAUCGGACUGCUGACAAAGAAAGAGAAUCAACGCUGGCAGAAGUUUGGAAGAUUUCCUUGAACUGUGGCCAAAAUCAGCAUAUUUGUCUUUUUUUUUUUUUUUUUUUGCGACACACGAUGAACUUUUAAGAAUAAAGUCAGGAGUUUUGGAGCGAUGAAAUUAUAAAUGUUACAUUAUUUACUUUAUCCUUGAUCCUUGAAGUCAGA